AUACUGUACUUUAUUAUGCAUUUUAUUGCAUUGAACUGGUGCUUAUAUGUGAUAUUAUACCCAACCUAGAUAUUCUUUGAGUGUGGGACAGGGACUAUAUAAUUAUUUUAAAUAAAUUUAAAAAUUCCCCACCUCCAAAAACCAUAUACUAGAAAGACAAAACACAGGAAAUGAGCAAUAGGGAAAACAGUGGUCCCUGUAUUGACUUAUAUGCUGACCCAAAUAUGUCUGCAUCAUGAACCCAAAAUCUCCUCCCCCUUUGCUUAACAGUCAAAAGAGCUAAGAGCAUUUGCAAUGUAUGAUUAGAAAUUAUAACCAAUUGGAACAGUUGUGGUCAUCAGUAUGUAUGUAGGUGAGUGUGCAUGAGGCUAGUAUUUCUACCUAUACCAUCGCCAGUCAUGCUUCCAUGCUGUAGUAACAUAGGUGACAAAUGAUUAUUGAGUCAUAACAUUGUUAGAUGCCCUCUCACCUCUUUGGCUGGGAAUGCUUUCCCAUGGAAAGGCAAUCUGGCCAGGACAUACAGCUGCACACCCCUGUAUCUGCUGCUUCAUAUACAUUAAUGCUGGAUUGUGCCUGAUGUGUCGAAAAGUUUGUUGCCAGUGCAUAUUCUGUAGUGAGAGAUGAAGACUAAUUUUGAAAGAAACUUUUAUGGCAUUGCUUGGUGGAUCGGAUGCUUGAUUUUCUGUCUUCUGGGGGAAAGCAUUCAGCAAAUUCAGUAUAGCAGUUUUAGUAGUCCUGCUGAUUUUGUAGAACAAGAAGCAGAAGAGCAUCAAGGUCUCCAAGAAAGAUGACUGAAAACCAUCUACCUCUACUGUUUAACAGGUCAUCACAUGCUAGUUUUUAAUAAUGCUUGUUCUGAGCUUGACAACUGAUUGUCACACAUAAGCUCAUAAGCUGCCAUUGAAAGUUACCCACCUGCAGUAGUGACAUGCAUGGUGGUGGGAAGCUGGUGAAUUCACUCCACCCCCUUACACUGUUGCCUACCUGGAUGGGGCAGCAGUGAGGCUGGAGUCAUGUGCUUUUAACUGUGGGAACAUCUAGCACGGCUGCUGGUGCAUCUGCACAGCCCCAACCACACAGUUGUGUCAGCCCAGCCCUGACCAGGUAAGUCCCAGCAACAACACUAGUGUUGGAGGGUGGCUCCACAGCUCCACCCCAUUGCAUGUGCCACCAAUCUCUUCCUGCUUCUUUUUAUCUCUGUAAUGUGAAGUGGUGUAGUAAUAAUAAUUGGCUUUAAUAGCAUUCGUCUUGGCUUUAUUUUCUUCUAGGCACAAUGUGAGCAAUAAAUUAAGGAG